AAUCCUGCUAAGUAGAGAUAUCAUGUGAUAGCAAAUAUUCAUGCUUAUUUACUUGUCGUACAUAUCGUUUUGUUUAUAUCUGCUUACUGACCCCUUUUUAGUUUGGGCCUAGUGGUGCAUUUCACUAAAACCAGUAAUUGCCCACUGGGAACUAUUAUUCAAUAGUUCUCACACCCUCUGUUUUAUAGUUUUAUUUCAGAGCCUUCGGCACCGGCGGAGGCACGGGAUCGCGGCAAGGGAGUCGCGUAGCUAGUUAGCUGGGAGCUACUUUUGAGCUUAGGUGGUUUACUCUUUCUUUCAUUGUUUUAGAGAGAGAGAGAUUUUUGUACCAUGUAUAGAGAGACCACCUAUAUACUUGUUUAGCUUUUGUUCUGGGAUUCCCUUUGUAUUCACUUUAUAUUUUUACUUAGUGGACUUAUUUUUAUGUUCUUUUCCUCUAUAGUAGCCUCUAGAUAUACUUGCUCUGAUACUCCUAGAUGUUCUCUUUUUACUACUUCAUUUAUCGUUUGGUUUUAGAUGCCUUAUAUGUGUUAGACAUAUGGCGGGUCUGGGCACGCGCCGGGCGGGCUUCCGCUGGGUCCCGGGGCGUAACAGAUUAGUUUGGUAUCAGAGCCUAGGGUUGAGUCUUAGUGGACCUAGCAAACCUUAGGCCGGUUGGACUAUAGGAAACAGGCUCGUGAGAGGCGAGGUCUAUUUGACUUGUAAGCGAAAGUAUCGUGAUUGGGUAUCUUGAUAACUCUAGAAAGUGGAGUUAAAUUGAAGUGUAUAGCUCCUAACUUCGCGGAGGGUUACGUUGGCGGCCGACAACGUAAUAUCGGGAGUUAGUAGUGAAGCACACUUCAUUACUUUCGCAUGAUUUGGCGUAUUAUCUACUUGAGCGGGAAUACGAUAGCGUGGGUUCCUAACUUACGCUUUUAUGAUGAUGUAGUGAGAUGUCGAUCACUCGCUCCCAAUCUGUCGGAGCGGAUAAUGCGGCACAUCUUGAGGAGGUCGAGACCUCCGCUACCUCCGGAUCCGGCGAGGUCCGAGAGUUGAGGAGCCAUCUUGUGUCUCUCACCGACUUGGUGACAUAGCAGGCGGAGACGGCCCGACAGCAGACGGAGGCGGCGCGCCGACAGGAGGCACGGAUGAAGCGCCUGGAGGCCUUCUUUUACAGCAGGCGGCAGCUUCCAGGGAGACUCAGGCCCCUACACCGCCAGCACCAGUUGUGGACGUGGCACCGAGAGCGCCGUCCCUCGCGCCCAGUUCUUCGCGAGCAGCGCCUGCGGCCGCGCCUCAGGAGGAGGCCAUCACGGUACCACUUAUAUAGAGGCCCCCGGUUGGAGCAGCUUUUCCUACCUUGGUCGAGGGAGCGGAGCGGGACAGACUGAUGGAGCGCCUCAACGAGUUCAGGAGGUGUAGUCCUCGGAUCUUCGACGGAGAGAAGGUCGACCACUGGAUCGUGGAGAAGUGGUUGAUGCAUAUGGAGAAACUCUUCCGCGACACCUUCGUGGAGGAGAGAGAUCGAGUUUGGCUCGCCACACACCAUUUGGACGGCUAGGCCUACCGCUGGUGGUUGGAUCUCCAGGAAAACCCCAGCACUGAUUUGGCGGCUAUUACUUGGAAGAGGUUCAAGGAGCUUCUUUUGGCACAUUACUUCCCGACCAGCGUCAAGCGGAAGAUGGAGCAGGAUCUGCGCAACUUGCGCCAAGGUGAUCGGACUGUGGCUGAGUACGAGCGGGAGUUUUCUCGGCUUCUUCACUGCGUACCUUUCAUCGUGCGGGACGACGAGGACAAGGCCCGCAUCUUCGAGCGAGGGUUGCGACCGUCGAUCUUCCGGUUUGUGCAAUCCUCUAACCUCCAAACCUACCGAGAGGUGGUGGAUCGUGCGCUCAUAGUGGAGAGCGGCGCGGCAGACUUCCAGGAGCGGCGUGAGGCGAUGGACAAAGGUAAGGCCAAGAGGCCUGCGGCAGAGGGUACGAGCCAGAUGCACUAUAGGAGGCCACCAAAGCAUCCUAGGAGCCAGCAGCGUGGACGCGGCUCAGCAGCGCAGCGAGGAGGUUCUGACCGUCGCCGGCCUUCCCCGUGUGUGAUCUGCGGUAGUCCCCAUUACCCACCGCAGUGUCCGCAGCGGGCGGGCAGGUGCUUUUAGUGUGGUCAGGAGGGCCGCGUUCGGACCGAGUGCCCGAGAGGUUCUUCACCGGCACCGUCGACUGCAUCGGCACCGGCUCUACCAGCCGUCAGCCACGGGACUCCGUCGACACAGUACCAGCCUGGGCGGCCACCCGUCCAGCGCCAGAGCGAGGGAUCUCGACAGGCCCCGAGUGGGCGUUUGUAUGCCGCUCAGACUGAGGAGGCAGUAGCAGCCGAGGAUGUGGUUGCAGGUAUCAUUUUACUUGAUGGCAUUAGAGUUCAUGCUUUAUUUGAUACCGGUGCAUCGCAUUCAUUUAUAGAUCAGCUGUUUGCCGAGUUGCAUGGCAUCCUUUUGGUUUUUUUGUUGCAUCGGGGACAUGUUGUAGUACUCGACCACACUCUGGAUAUUAGAGAGUAUUGCUCUAGUUGCCCUGUUUGGGUAGGAGAUUGGAUCAUGUCCGUGGAUUUGCUUGCUCUGCGCAAGUUAGGGGAUUUCGAUAUGGUCUUGGGCAUGGAUUGGCUAACCAAGUAUUAUGCCACGAUUGAUUGUAAGAAUCGCACGGUUAUUUUUAGAGAACCGGGGCAGACUUAGGUUGUGUUUAGAGGAUGCCGGAGUUCGCUUUUUGCGAUGUUAAUCAGCUCGUCUUGAGCUAGGCAGCUGAUCAGCCGAGGAUGUGUAGCCUACUUGGCUAGUGUUGCGUUGAGGGGCGAGGAUGACACCCCCCAGGAUUGAGGAUAUCCCGGUGGUACGGGAGUUUCAGGAUGUGUUUCCAGCUGAGCUACCGGGUAUGCCACCCGAUAGGGAGAUCGAGUUUGUGGUAGAUCUCGUCCCUCGGACUACUCCAAUCUCGAAGGCACCCUAUAGGAUGGCACCGGCGGAGCUGAAGGAGCUGAGGGCACAGCAACAAGAUCUGUUGGACAAGGGCUUCAUUCGACCGAGCGUCUCGCCAUGGGGAGUGCCAGUUCUGUUCGUCAAGAAAAAGGACAGAUCACUUCGCCUAUGUGUGGACUAUCAUGAACUUAAUAAAGUCACGAUUAAGAAUAAGUACCCGUUGCCGAAGAUCGACGACUUGUUUGAUCAGCUUCAAGGAUCGUGUGUGUAUUUCAAGAUCGACUUGCAGUCGGGAUACCACCAGUUAAAGAUCAAACCCGAGGAUGUGUCGAAGACGGCUUUUAGAACACGGUAUGGACACUAUGAGUUCAUAGUUAUGCCGUUUGGGCUUACUAAUGCUCCGGCUGCUUUUAUUGAUUUGAUGAACCGUGUUUUUAAGCCUUAUCUAGACAGGUUCGUCGUGGUGUUCAUCGACGAUAUUUUGGUUUAUUUCCGAAGUAAUGCGGAUCACGAGGAGCAUUUGAGACUAGUACUUCAAAUACUUCGGAAAAAGGAGCUUUAUGCCAAGCUGAAAAAGUAUGAAUUUUGGCUUCGCAAGGUAGCCUUCCUUCGACAUUUGAUAUCGGGAUCGGGUAUAGCCGUGGAUCCUAAGAAAAUUGAGGCUAUCAAGGAUUGGUCGAGACCGACGAGCGUCACUGAGAUCCGGAGCUUUCUCGGAUUAGCCAGUUAUUACCGGAGAUUUGUUGAGGGGUUUGUUAAGCUGUCUACUCCCCUCACGAGGCUCACGCAUAAGGGUGUCAAGUUCGUCUGGAAUGAUGCGUGUGAAAGAAGCUUCCAAGAGUUGAAGCAGAGACUAACAACCGCCUCGAUCCUAACCUUGCCAGUUGCUGGAGCAGGGUAUGUGGUUUAUAGUGAUGCUUCACUUAACGGAUUGGGCUGCGUGUUAAUGCAGGAUGGCAAAGUGAUCGCGUAUGCUUCUCGCCAAUUGAAGGAUUAUGAAAAGAACUAUCCUAUACAUGAUUUGGAGUUGGCGGCCGUUGUCUUCGCAUUGAAGUUAUGGCGCCACUACUUAUAUGGCGAGCGGUGUGAAGUAUACACGGAUCACAAGAGCUUGAAAUACCUGUUCACUCAGAAGGAGUUGAACUUGGGACAGCGCAGAUGGUUUGAGCUGCUUAAGUAUUAUGAUUUAACUAUUCUUUAUCACCCGGGCAAGGCUAACGUGGUGGCGGAUGCGCGAAGUAGAAAGUCAACGGAAAACUUAGCGAUGCAUGUUGUUACUCAACCGCAGUUGAUCGAGCAGAUGAAGCGGUUGGAGUUGGAGGUAGUGACUCCUGACACAUCUUUGAGAUUGAUGACCUUGGUAGUGCAACCUAUGCUCUUAGAUAGAAUUAAAGAGAAGCAAGCUUCCGAUGUGGAUUUGCAAAGGAUUAAAGGUAAAAUGGUUGAUGGUUGCACCGGCGACUACUUUGUGGAUGACCAAGGAUUGAUGCGUUUCCGUGGGCGGAUUUGUGUACCGACGGAUUUGGGAAUUAAAGAGGAUAUUCUUCAAGAAGCACACCGAGCGCCCUAUGCUAUACAUCCGGGAGGCACCAAGAUGUAUAAGGACUUGAAAUUACUUUAUUGGUGGCCCGGGAUGAAAAAGGACGUUGGUGAGUUUGUAGCUCGUUGUCUAACUUGCCAACAAGUAAAGGCUGAGCAUCGAUUACCCGCGGGGAAACUUCAGAGUUUGCCUAUUCCGGUGUGGAAGUGGGAGAAGAUCACCAUGGAUUUUGUGACAGGAUUGCUUCGCUCUCAGGCCGGGCAUGAUCCUAUAUGGGUGAUCGUGGAUAGGUUCACGAAGUCGGCGCACUUCAUAUCUAUUCAUACUACUUGGACUGGAGAGAAGCUCGCACAAGUGUACUUUGAUGAGAUUGUGCGACUUCACGGAGUGCCUACUUCGAUUGUAUCAUAUCGAGACACUCGGUUUGUGUCUCACUUUUGGAGAAGUCUGCAGGACGCCCUUGGCACCCGAUUGGACUUCAGCACUGCUUUCCACCCCGAGAGUGAUGGGCAGUCGGAGCACACCAUUCAGACUUUAGAGGAUAUGCUCCGAGCGUGUAUGAUAGACUUCCAGGGAGAAUGGUCGCAGCAUCUACCUAUGGCAGAGUUUGCUUAUAACAACAGUUAUCAAGUAAGCAUCAAGAUGGCGCCGUUUGAAGUACUCUAUGGACGGAAGUGUAGAUCGCCACUUCAUUGGAGUGAUGUUGCCGAGAGAUUGCCUUUAGGCCCUGAUGUGCUCCAGGAAGCUGAGGACAAAGUUUGAAUUGCUCGGGAGCGACUUUUUACGGCACAGAGUAGACAGAGGAGCUACGCCGAUCGACGACGGCGAGACUUGGAAUUCCAAGUUGGAGACCAUGUUUUCUUGAAGGUCUCGCCGACUAGAGGGAUCAAGAGAUUUGGAAUUCGGGGUAAGUUGAGCCCCCGUUUCAUUAGGCCAUAUGAGAUUUUGGAACGUGUAGGUCCGGUAGCUUAUCGACUUGCUCUACCACCGAACCUAUCGGGCGUGCACAACGUCUUUCAUGUAUCGGUCCUUCGAAAGUAUGUCUUCGACCUGACUUUUGUGUUGGAUGCUACACCUGUGGAGUUGCGAGACGACUUGAGCUUCGAGGAGCAACCAGUGAGAAUUUUGGCUCGCGAGGUGCGAAAACUGCGGAAUCGGGAUAUUCCGUAUGUGAAGGUUCUUUGAAGGUUCUUUGGAGCAACCACGGGGAGCGGGAGGCCACGUAGGAGCUAGAGAGCGCGCUACGGGAGCGCUAUCCCCAUCUCUUUCAGAUGGAGGCUUGAGGUACUUUGUUUGUUUCGAGUUUCGCGGACGAAACUCCUUUUUAGGAGGGGUGAAUGUAGCACACUGGACCUUUGCAAAUUGCGAGGUUAGAGUGUUUGAUGUGUAUUCCGAACUUUUCCACACUUGGUGGAAGGUCGUAGAUGGUAUUUCGACCUAAAAGUUCGAUCUCUAGAGUUUUGGCAAGUCCUGAGAGUUUUCACUCUCGGGAACCGGUCCCUGAUAGGAGAGAUCGGUCCCCUCAAAACAAUGCUGCGGCAGGACUUAAGGCAACCGGUCCCUGGCGGGUGAGACUGGUCCCCGAGCACGAUCUCGUCGGGAGAGACCAGUCCCAUGUGGGGAGAAACCGGUUCCCGAACGUUGGAUUUUCGGGGCAGGCUGAGAGACCGGUCCCAGGUCGGGGAGACCGGUCCCUCAGUCCGAAAACUGCCUAGACCCGGGCAGUGCACAGGGUGAUUCUUUGAGGGACUUAUAUGGAUUUUGUUGCUUCUAAGGGCCUUAAGGCCAUUUCCACUCUCUCUCUCCCUCAUUUCUCUCCCUCACUUUCACUCUAGAGAGAGAAGAAGAAGGAGAAGAAGAAAGAGUUCGAGGAGAGCUAGUUUGGAGGCCUUAGAGCAUCUUCCUCAACCUCUUUUCUCACCUUGGAGGCUUGGGGCUUGCUAUUGGGGCUUUGUGGAGGAUCAAUCUUCAACCCUAGAAGAUUUGGAGCUUGUUUUGGGGCAUUUAGAGAGGUUAGUAUCUUGAUUCUAGCCUUUGAUGCAUGUUUUGGUAGGUUUUACCAUAUGAAACCCUAGAAUUGAGAUUUAAGAUUUAUUUUGGGGAUUUUUUAUUUGAGGGCUUAGAAACCUAAUUGAUGGGUUUAAAACCUUCUUCUAGGUUGGGUUGGAAGGGUUCUUGCUCUCUUUGGAAGCUUGAGAAGGGAUUUCAUCACAAGAGGUGAGUUAUGCCCUCUAUGCUUAGAUGGUUUAAGAUUGAGCUUUUUGAUGUUCGUUUCGAUUGUGUAACUCUUGUUCCUACAUAUUUAGGGUGCUAGGAGACUAGUGGACACCUCCGUUCGGCGAAACGAAGAGUUUCGAUUUUUGGUGGGUUUGGCUUCAUGAAAACGGGGCGAAAUGACCCCCGUGCUUUCUAUACUCGUCGUAACGUCAUUUUAAAUGCAAAUCUAUGCUUAAUGAAAUUUAUGUGAAUUUUAGAACACUUAAAAUGUAUGGGUUAUAUAGUAUACUGAACUUUAGCAAAUUGCGACAUUCAAGUAAGGGGAAUGACAUUUGGAACCUCCCUACAUGUUUUAAAGAGUUUAAAGAUGUUUACGGAGAAGUUUUAGAGGGAUCGAAUUGUCGGAGACAAGAAAGUGCAUUGCAAUUUCGAGUUUGGCAUUUUCUGCAUUGGUGUACCGGUACAAACAUAAUGCUGUACCGGUACAGCAAGCAGCAGAGGCAGCAGCUGCGUGGCAGCAGGGUUGAAUUGGUCAUUUCACCUUUCAAGCUUAUCUUUAAAGCUUAUCUCGACCCUUGCAGCUUCUCUACAGUUGCUGGAGCUCUCAGAAACAGGGUAAGCAACUUCUCUUUCUCUCUCUAGGGUUCUUCUCUCUCUCUACAAGAUGAAGCAAGGUGUGAAGCUUAGUUUUCUCCUUUACUUUGAAGGCUGCUGAGAAGAGGGACUUGGUUCAGCUGGGAAGAAGGUGAAGGAGGUGUUUUGGGAAGGAGUUCGCAGCUCCUUCACAGCAGAUAGCUGAGUAGAGGCUUACUAAGGUAACUAAACUAAUUAUUCUUUAGUUUAAUGCCUUAGUAGUAAAGCUGAAUUUGAUUUCGAGUUCUUUAUACUCAGCUUGAGGGAGGGGAGUUCUAGCAGUCCUAGAAGCAGGACUUGAUGUGGUUUUGUAACCUGAAGCUAGAGGGAGGGUAAGAUUUGAGCUUAGAAAAGGUAAUUAAUUAAACUAACCACUCUAUGUUGAGCAUAUCUAUGAUGUAAAGGGAGUAGAGAUGCUGAUUUUGGGGUUGAUAUGUGCAGCUGCGAGCUAUCCAUUUUGAGCUGAAUCGAAGGGAGAUUAUGAGCUAAUUUGGAGGGUUCUAAUCUCAAUGGAAGUGAAGAAUUAGUCCGAACCUGAGAUAAGGUGAGAAUUUCUUUAGAAUUGAAUGUUUAGGAAUAGCUUCAAUGCAGUUUUGAAGCUAAGUCGCAGCAGGUGUGCAACAGGCUUUUGGAUUAUGUUCGACUAGGGAUUAAAGGCUUUUGAAGCUGAAGUUUAGUACUUUAACCUGAUCUGAACCAAGGGGUCAACUGUGGCAGGAUACAAGGUGAGGAUUUUACCGAAUUAGAGGUUCUAAUGGUAGCUUUAAUGCAGUUCGCUAAAGUGGGCUACAGCAGGUUCGAGUAUUGUUCUAAACUGAUCAUUGGAGCUCUUUUGAGUUGGAAUGAGCUGAAAGGAAGAUACUUUAAUCUGAACCAAAACAAGGGUUUAAGCUGUAACUUCAUACGAGGUAAAUAGUUGCUAAAAUUGGAGGGUUAGUACUAAGCUGAAGGCAGUUUUUAUAAUUAAAUUGCCGCAAGAUUGAAACUUGAUUGAGUUGAAUUUCAGGGCUUAUUUGGGCUGGAAUGAACUGAAUUCUGGGUGCUUCUACUUGGAUUGAAAAGUAGAUCCAACUUCUCCUUUAACCUAAGUAAGUAAUUACUAUCUAUUCGAUGAAUAGGCGAGGUUUUAUUAUAGGUAUUUAAACUAAGCUUGUAGCUGAUUUGGACUCAUGAAUUAGGAACCUGGACACUUGGAUUGCUUACUAGGGUGUGUAUUUGGCAGAGGACACCAACUAGUAGGUGGGUUUGAUCUAACCAGAGCAAGUGAAUUUUCCUCUAUAUUCUAUAUGAUACUAUAGAACUAUUAAUUAGAUGGCAUUGGAAGGAUAUGUAUGUUUCAUUUGAAUACAUCAUUAAUUAGUGGCUUGAUUAUGCUUUUGCAAAGUGGGAAACAAGGACAUUCAAAUUAUUGUGUAACAGUACAUGUAAAUUGCAUACUUGUUAUGUAGUCAUCCCUCUAAUGGAUACUGGCAUUCCUAUUAUACCUAGAUUCCGACCUAUUGGUCGAGAACAAGAACUUACAUACUUGAUACAUGAUAAUUGAGAACUGUUAGACUAUGGAUCAUGCUUGCUUGCCAUUGUGCUCAUUCGCACAUGCUUGUGAGGGUCGCUCCCCACAAGCCGGCACUCCGGAGUUGGCCUACGCGACAGAUUGCUCGCCCGUGCGGGAUUGGGUGCCGAAGUGGAUUGCCGUGGGGAGUGUAUACUAUCACGGGGCCAUUAGGCGCGGCGCAAGCUGGACUAUCUUGAGUAGGUCCUUACAAAUUAAGUCAAUAUAUUAAACGAUAAUAGCAGAUGAUUAUCAUUGAGUAGUAUACAGUUACAUCUCUACUUGACAUAUUCAUGUUCAUUGCGAUUACCUUACCCGUUUUACUUGAUAAAUAUAUCUGACAGCAUGACACAAUUUCAUAGUUCUUUAUUGUUGAUAAAACUUACAUGUUAUAACUGUGCUUACAUUUCCCUUAGUAUAUCAUCAUGAGCCUAGUGGUGUAAUUCGCCGAGGCUGGCGGCUUACCUACUGGGAACUAUUGUUUAAUAGUUCUCACGCCCUUUUUAUUGUUGUUUUUACAGAGCCAUCUACAGGAGAGGCUAGGGAUCAUGGCAAGGGGGUCGCGCCUAGCUAGAUAUAGCUUGAAGCUUGACUAGAUGAUCACCUUGCUACUCGGGCUACGGCCGAGGGUGAUGUCCCCAUAUAUAGAGAGAUUACUAUUGUACAUAUAUUUUGUACCCUGUGAUGUAUAUGUAACUUGAAUCAGAGAUUACAGUUUUGGUGUAUUUCUGUGGAAUUGAGUGUCAUACCCAGGAACUCUCCAAAUCCGAGAGUCGUGCUUCGUCCAGAAUCGACCAAGGGUCGAGUUGAUAAGCUUUGAAAAAGCUAAUGGUGCACGAAACCCAAGAAGUGCAUUAGAAUGGAGUCCGCGAGUGCAAGUAAUGCAAUCUGCAUUUUUGGGCUGAGGUUGCUCUCGGGGACCGGUCUCUCGAGGUGAGAGACCGGUCCCAUCAGCUGGAGGCUGCGGGGUUGCUGAUGCAACCGGUCCCUGGCAGAGGAGGGACCGGUCCCAGCCUGCGACACCAGUGAGAAGAGCCAGAAAUUGGCUAAGUCCCGCGAGAUGAGCUCUCAGGGACCGGUCUCUGGUGGGCAGACCGGUCUCCCCAGGACCGGUCUCUCAGGGAGAGAGACCGGUUCCCGAACGCGUGGAAUCGGGGAGAGCUCUCGGGGACCGGUCCCUGGUCGGGGAGACCGGUCCCUCAACGCGCAGAACGCCCAGUAAGGGCUGUGUAAGAGGUGAAAAGUUGAGGGGCCUUUGGGGAUAUUGUUACAAAAUGAGAGAGAGUAUUAGAGAGAGAUCUUUUCCUCUCUCUCUCUCUCACUCCCUCAGCCUCUCUCUCUCCCUCUGAUGGUGCGAAGGGGGAAAAGAAGAAAAGAAAGAAAAGAGAAAAGAGAAGAGAAGAAGAAAAAGAGAAAGGAAAGGAAAAGAAGAAGAGGACCAAGAAGGAGAUCCUCUUCCUCAUCUUCAUCUUCAUCUUCUUCUCUCCAUGGAGCUCUUUGAGAGGUAAGCUUCCAAGCCCUCUCAUGGUAAAUCCUUAAAGAUAGGGUUUUGAUCUCUAGAAAUGGUUUGUUUGGAACCCUAGCAUGCUAUUUUGAUGGAUUAUACCCAAAUCAUAGAUUGAUUUGGUGGAUUUGUUGGUGAUGGCAUUCUAGGGCAUCCAAGUGGGGUUUUUGUAAAUAGAUGAGUUCGAUCUCAUUUGACCCUUCGUAAACCUAAUUGGUAGGUAACGAAACUCGUUGGUGAAGUCGGUUCGGCAAUCCGACAAGCCGUUGGAAAGAUAUUGAAGAAACGGGCGCUCGGAGCUUCGUUUCCGCCUGGGAGGCCGAGGCAACAUCCAUAAAUCGUGAAAUCGGAUCCCGACCACCGUAGCGGCAAGGCAAAGAUCGCUAGCACUUGAAACGGCGAAGCGGCGCGCUCUUGGGGAGCAAUUGUAAGAUCGGGCCCAAACGGGUGCCGGGUGCCGCGGGAGGCCGAUUGCAAGUGUCGACAAGCAAUCGGGAAGCUAACUAAGGUGGGUUGUGCUUACCGAAGCGACUAGGUCGCCCUUUAUGUCUUAGCAAUGUAAUCUCAUGUUGAUGCAUGUGCAUGUAGACAAGACUAAAUGGUGCAUUAAUAAAUAUGCAUAAAGUAAAGGCUAAGUAAAUAGAAUGCAUGAUGAAUAAAGACGCAUAGAGUAAAUGCCAAGUAGAAAGCAUGAGAUAAUAACCCUAGUAUGAGUAGAGUUGAUUGGACAACUAGGUUGUCAGAUAGAUCGAGUGGCAUCUAACCUAGUGUCAAAGAACAUAGGUUAAACAAAUGAACCUAGAGUCGAACAAUCUAGGUGUGGUAUCGAACCUAGUGCUAGUAAACCUAGGUCGAACUAGUAAACCUAGAAGUGGACAUCUAGGCAAUGAUGACAAGAACCUAGCAAGUGUAUCUAGGUUAAGUGACAUGGACAUAGAACCUAGAGUAUUGGAACCUAGGUUGAUGAGCAUAGUGGUAUAGCCACUAGGAUGAGAUAGGUCGAAAGUAUAUGGUUGGUUAUGGACCCUCGACCUGUGGAAAGUGGAUUCCGGAAUCCCAUGACUUGUGAUGACCCUGGUAGAAGCUAGGGCGUUUGUGCGACGACUUCGCCGCCGAGCUUGGUACCGAGGGAGGAUUGGGGGCGAUCACAUGAAGAUCACCGCCCGGGGCUUGAACCAUUGUCGUGGCGUUUGUGCGACGAUUUCGCCGCAAGGAUGGUUGAGCCAUUUGAGGAUCAGACCGCCAGAGCAGACUGAAUCCAUGGUGGGUAAGUACGAUGCGGGUGCCUCUAGGUGGCGAAGUCUGAUAUGUACCGUUGUUGGGUGUGGUGCGAUCUGUUCGCCGCCAGACGGUGUGUCAGGACUCGAGCUCACGCUGGGUAAGUGCAACGCGAUCGCCACCGGAUGGUCAAGUCGUGCGACUGGAGCCGAGCUUAGCAUGUGCGACGACUUCGCCGCUAGGGGGCUGAGACAGAGAGGGCGGUAGGCUGAUGAGCAGCCGGUGCCCGGGCUAUCCGCGGAUGAUUGACUCGAAGCCGAGUCGGGUGUUAGCUUCGAUAGGGUAGAGGAACCCUUAUGAGCUAGAGAUAGAGGCUUGAGCUAAGGCAAUAGAAACCUUAGGAGCCAGUUGACUGAGUUGAGAUCCUAAGGUAAUAGAAAUCUUAGAGUAAAGAUAUACCUGAGAGUAGCUAAGUAAUGAGUAGGAUCAGAUGAUCUACUAGUUGUUGCAUAGAGUUGUAUGAUUUCCAUAUCGCAUAUCAUGAGGCAUGGCAUAUAUUUCAAUUGAAUAUAUAUAUCUGUUGUAUAUUGUUGAACUAACAUGUUGCAGGGCCUCCUCGGACCUAUCUGUCGAGCUUUUCCCUUGGGUGGCCGUACCCACUGGGAACCAUGGAGUUGGUUCUCACCCCACGUGGUUUUGGGGUGUUUUCAGGUUGUACGUGUGCAGCGCGGUAGCGCAAGGCGAGGGCGUAGCUCAGUAGAUAGCGCCCUACCACAGAGACCGAGGUAGCAGUACCCUGAGGCAGUCUAGCUUAGGGGACUAGAAGGCAAGAAUCAAGAUGUAUCAAACUUGUAAAAUAAAUGAUUGUAAUUGGAAGUAAAAUGUAAACUGAAUUGAGAUGUACUAAGUGAAUGAAAAUGAAUGCUUGUAAUAGCAGUUAGUUUUAUGUAUUUGAUACUUCCUUUGCAAUCUGGAUUGGUAUCCGUUCCUUGUUGGAACAUUUGUUGAUUGUUUGGAUUGUGACGCCUAGAACGUACAGGGGAGACUCUGUCCGCGUACAGGGGAAACCCGAGUCCGUUCGGCGGUCUGUCGUCGGUGCCGCGACCCGGUCCAAAUUGGCGGUUGGUCGCGGGGCGUGACAUUGAGAGUCUGAGCUGUUUAUACUUACUAUAUUCUAAUAGUUGUAUUAUCGACUUAUACCUUGCUCUGAUAUCAGGUUAGAAUUCUGCUAUGUUUUCUCUUUUUUCGACAUGCUUCUUUGUAGACGCCUUAUAUACUGCAGGUGUAUGGCAGGUCUGUACAUGUACCGGGUAGGCUUUCGCUGAUACCCGGGCGUGACAGGUUAUGUAUAAGAAAAUUUUCACUCUAUAUAGUAGAGCAUUCUGGGUACUGUUACAUGCAUUUGGGUAGUGUUCGCACUAGUCGUUUGGAAACAUGCUUCAUAAGUUUAGAGUGGCCCAAUUAUGUAUUUUUUGAACAUUCGGGUUAAGCUCGGACUUAGUAAAUGAAAGUGUCAUAAAGGGGCACUUAGACUAGCACACUAUGAGACUACUGUAUUGACUUAGUGAUAAGCCAUGGACAUCUACUACUUUCCAUGUUUUAGUCAUGAUGACAUAGAGAUAGGCCUGUGAGAGAGUUGUGACAUAUUCCAUCUUGUUAGACAUGAGGACGUAGUACUUGAGGCAGAUCUUUUGUUACUUGCCAUUGUGCUCAUUCGCACAUACUUGUGAGGGUCGCUCCCUACAAGUCGGCACUCCGGAGAUGGCCAUCGCGAUACAUAUUCGCCGUGUGGGAUUGGGCGCCGAAGUGGAUUGCCGUGGGAAAGGCUCAUUCCUAGAGUGAGGAUGUUGACUACCACGGGGCUAUUAGGCUCGGCACCGGCCAGACAGCCUACGGGUGGGUCUUAGGGCCAGACAGCCUUCGGGCGGGUCUCUUCGGAUUUGAUUUUGAGCAUUCGUCAUGCCAUGUGGACAUUGAUUAGAAUAGUAAACAAUGACACCUUUACUAUUUGACUUACGGACAUCAUACUAGCGAUGCUUGGGUACAUUCUUAUGAGAAUAGCUUUUCUUACUUAUGCUAAAUCCUGCUAAGUAGAGAUAUCAUGUGGUAGCAAAUAUUCAUGCUUAUUUACUUGUCGUACAUAUCGUUUUGUUUAUAUCUGCUUACUGACCCCUUUUUAGUUUGGGCCUAAUGGUGCAUUUCACUGAAGCCAGUAAUUGCCCACUGGGAACUAUUAUUCAAUAGUUCUCACGCCCCCUGUUUUAUGGUUUUAUUUCAGAGCCUUCGGCACCGGCGGAGGCACGGGAUCGUGGCAAGGGAGUCGCGUAGCUAGUUAGCUGGGAGCUACUUUUGAGCUUAGGUGGUUUACUCUUUCUUUUAUUGUUUUAGAGAGAGAGAGAUUUUUCUACUAUGUAUAGAGAGACCACCUAUGUACUUGUUUAGCUUUUGUUUUGGGAUUCCCUUUGUAUUCACUUUAUGUUUUUACUUAGUGGACUUACUUUUAUGUUCUUUUCCUCUAUAGUAGCCUCUAGAUAUACUUGCUCUGAUACUCCUAGAUGUUCUCUUUUUACUACUUCAUUUAUCGUUUUGUUUUAGACGCCUUAUAUGUUUUAGACAUAUGGCAGGUCUGGGCACGCGCCGGGCGGGCUUCUGCUGGGUCC
rnacentral:lncRNA from 1 species